rnacentral:rRNA from 1 species
AGGACUAACGCUGGCGGCGUGCCUAACACAUGCAAGUCGAACGAGAGUAGCAAUACUCUAGUGGCAGACGGGUGAGUAACACGUGGUCAACCUACCUUUAAGUGGGGGAUAACUAGCCGAAAGGUUAGCUAAUACCGCAUACGAUCUUCGCGUGGCAUCACAUGAAGAUGAAAGGAGCAAUCCGCUGAAAGACGGGACCGCGUCCCAUUAGCCAGUUGGUGGGGUAACGGCCUACCAAAGCAACGAUGGGUAGCUGGCUUGAGAGAGCGACCAGCCACACUGGGACUGAGACACGGCCCAGACUCCUACGGGAGGCAGCAGUGAGGAAUUUUCCGCAAUGGGCGAAAGCCUGACGGAGCGACGCCGCGUGUGGGAUGAAGGCCUUCGGGUCGUAACCACUGUCGAAGGGGAAGAUAUUGACGGUACCGUUGGAGGACGCCCGGCUAACUACGCGCCAGCAGCCGC